GAUGAACGCUGGCGGCGUGCUUAACACAUGCAAGUCGAACGGUGAAGCAGAGCUUGCUCCGUGGAUCAGUGGCGAACGGGUGAGUAACACGUGAGCAACCUGCCCCGGACUCUGGGAUAAGCGCUGGAAACGGCGUCUAAUACCGGAUACGAGAUUCCACCGCAUGGUGAGUUUCUGGAAAGAUUUUUUGGUCUGGGAUGGGCUCACGGCCUAUCAGCUUGUUGGUGAGGUAAUGGCUCACCAAGGCGUCGACGGGUAGCCGGCCUGAGAGGGUGACCGGCCACACUGGGACUGAGACACGGCCCAGACUCCUACGGGAGGCAGCAGUGGGGAAUAUUGCACAAUGGGCGGAAGCCUGAUGCAGCAACGCCGCGUGAGGGAUGACGGCCUUCGGGUUGUAAACCUCUUUUAGCAGGGAAGAAGCGAAAGUGACGGUACCUGCAGAAAAAGCGCCGGUUAACUACGUGCCAGCAGCCGCCGUAA
rnacentral:rRNA from 1 species